rnacentral:lncRNA from 1 species
CUUUGCCCCGUCUGCCCUGCAAGCCGCCAGGCAGUGUGAGCUGAAAGACACCAUUCACACCCACAGUGACUGGAAUGCUCUCUCUACCAAACCUGUGGAUGUGGGGACUGAUUCAUAAGCGCUUCUCAGUCCAGCGAUGAAUGGUGGAUCCCUGGGACUGACCCUUUAAUUGGCUUCUCUCCAGGGACUGGCUUCUCCUGAGCCCGUUGUGAAGCCUGGGCUGGGGGUGUCUAGGCUCAAUGCUCAGGGGGCCCUGAACGUGUGCUCCUCUCUGUGGCCUGAACCUGCGUCCUGUCUACACCUGCAUCGUCAGCUACGCAGAUUCUAGCCUCUCUUCUAGCUGCAUCCACAGCUCCAAAUCUUCUGCCACCCCGGGCCUCACCUCAUGCCUCCAGCUGAAUUCUGACUCAUGCAGUCUCUACCUUUCCACGUUCCUCGCACAGGUGACAAUCUCUAAGAAGUCACUAGUUACGUUGGACGCUAACUCUGGAUCAUUCCUCCUUCGUCGGCGGAACUCAGUGAGUCUGAAUGAAUCAUAAUGAAGAAACACAACUUGUUGGGGCUUCCCAAGACACAGAAAGGAAUCUGGCCAACCCUUCCGUUGAAGCUUUAUGAGAGAGGUCCCGUGUCGUGAAGAAGGAUGCUGAGCAUGAGGGAUGCCAUCUAUGACUUCUUCCAGGUUGCUUUCCUUCCAGGGAGGGAUCUCAGCACUUUUUGGCUCUUGUCAAGAAACCAAAUUGCUGAAACCAAGCGACUUGUUCCCAGCGGUAAACCCAUGAGUGUUCACACUUAGGGCGAAGAGACAAGUGGAGCAC